rnacentral:rRNA from 1 species
AUGCGUUUUGUGCGGCGCAUCCAGGAGUCUGAGGUGAAGGAGGCUUUAAAAAGGAUGAAAGGAGGCAAGGCGAUGGGCCCUGAUUGUAUCCCCAUUGAGGUGUGGAAAGGUCUCGGGGACAUAGCGACAGUAUGGCUAACCAAGCUUUUCAACCUCAUUUUUCGGGAAAACAAGAUGCCAGAAGAAUGGAGACGGAGUAUAUUAGUACCAAUCUUCAAGAACAAGGGGGAUGUUCAGAGUUGUACUAAUUACUGUGGAAUUAAGCUGAUGAGCUAUACAAUGAAGCUAUGGGAGAGAGUCAUUGAGCACCGCUUAAGAAGAAUGACAAGAGUGACCAAAAAUCAGUUUGGUUUCAUGCCUGGGAGGUCGACCAUGGAAGCCAUUUUCUUGGUACGACAACUUAUGGAGAGAUAUAGGGAGCAUAAGAAGGACUUGCAUAUGGUGUUCAUUGACUUGGAGAAGGCCUAUGAUAAGAUACCGCGGAAUGUCAUGUGGUGGGCCUUGGAGAAACACAAAGUCCCAGCAAAGUACAUUACCCUCAUCAAGGACAUGUACAAUAAUGUUGUGACAAGUGUUCGAACAAGUGAUGUCGACACCGAUGACUUCCCGAUUAAGAUAGGACUGCAUCAGGGGUCAGCUUUGAGCCCUUAUCUUUUUGCAUUGGUGAUGGAUGAGGUCACAAGGGGUAUACAAGGAGAUAUCACAUGGUGUAUGCUCUUUGCGGAUGAUGUGGUGCUAGUUGACGAUAGUCGGACGGGGGUAAAUAGGAAGUUAGAGUUAUGGAGACAAACCUUGGAAUCGAAAGGGUUUAGGCUUAGUAGAACUAAAACCGAGUACAUGAUGUGCGGUUUCAGUACUACUAGCUGUGAGGAGGAGGAGGUUAGCCUUGAUGGCCAGGUGGUACCUCGGAAGGACACCUUUCGGUAUUUGGGGUCAAUGUUGCAGGAGGAUGGGGGUAUUGAUGAAGAUGUGAACCAUCGAAUCAAAGCCGGAUGGAUGAAGUGGCGCCAAGCUUCUGGCAUUCUCUGUGACAAGAGAGUGCCACAAAAGCUAAAAGGCAAGUUCUACAGGACGGCGGUUCGACCCGCAAUGUUGUAUGGUGCGGAGUGUUGGCCAACUAAAAGGCGACAUGUUCAACAGUUAGGUGUGGCGGAGAUGCGUAUGUUGAGAUGGAUGUGUGGCCACACGAGGAAGGAUCGAGUCCGGAAUGAUGAUAUACGAGAUAGAGUUGGGGUAGCACCAAUUGAGGAGAAGCUUGUCCAACAUCGUUUGAGAUGGUUUGGGCAUAUUCAAAGCAGGCCUCUAGAAGCUCCAGUGCAUAGCGGACGGCUAAAGCGUGCGGAGAAUGUCAAGAGAGGGCGGGGUCGACCGAUUUUGACAUGGGAGGAGUCCGUUAAGAGAGACCUGGAGGAUUGGAGUAUCGACAAAGAGCUAGCUAUGGACAUGGGUGCGUGGAAGCUUGCUAUCCAUGUGCCAGAGCCAUGA